UGCAGGGAGGGUGUCCUGAUGCCCAGACCCCGGUCUUAGCCAAAAACACCAUGUGCGGAUUUCCUAUAGCUGGGGUGACAAAUCGUCACACGCCGGUGGCUUACAGCAACAGAAAUGUACUUUCUCGCAGAUCUGGAGGCUAGAAAUCCAAGGUCCAAGUGUGGGCUGGGCUCUGUGAAGGCUCCUGGGGGAGGAUUCCUGCUUUUUCUGGUGGUUGCUGGUGCUCUCGGCAUGUGGCUGUGUGUCCCUCCCGUCUCUGCCUCUGUUGUCACAUGGCCUUCUGUGGUGUGUCUUCACAAUGUCUCUUCUCUUUGUGCCUCUGUCUCCGUGUCCCCCUCCUCUUAAAACGGAGCGAAGAGAGAAGGACACCUGCAGAUUAAAGAUUUCAAUGAAUCGCCGCAGGAGAGAGAGCAGGUGGAGAGUGCCUGGCAGCCGCCCUCUCCCCAGACUCAGGGCACAGAUCUAGGGGCCGGCUUCCCCACCCACCCCCCAAAGAGAAGUCCAUCCACCACCACGGAAUUCAGAGCUUAAGGACUAUUCGACAAGAAUGUCAUCAGUUUAGGCCACUGAAUCCUUUCCGUUUUUCUGGGGGUCAUCGGAUGACAGGGGGACAAAGGUGUCAUUUGAGACCACAGAGCGCAACCAAAUUCCACAUUGCACAGACACGCAACUAAUUUACACCCGAAGAACCGUGGGGGUGAAUCUGCAUUCCAUUUGGCACAGAAAGUUGAGGGUCGACUGAGCAAAGAUGGGAUAUAAGUGAGCUUCCCAAGUGCCCGGGGCCCUGGACGGGGAGGACCCUGUGGGCGGGGAGCUCUCUGCUGGGAUCCAGAAGGAACGUGCUCGGCCCACUCCUUGUCCCGACUUUCCCUGGACUCCGGGCUUUGCUUCUUGACCUCGAUUUUCCUGGCUUCCUCAAACAACCUUUUAAAAAUAUCCACCCCACCCCCAACUCUAUUCUGACCACUUUUAAACAUACAGAAAAGUUGUGAAAA